GACGAACGCUGGCGGCGUGCUUAACACAUGCAAGUCGAACGGGUCUGCCCUGUUUUUUGCGGGGUGGGUCAGUGGCGAACGGGUGAGUAACACGUGAGUACCCUGCCCCUCACUUCUGGAUAACCGCUUGAAAGGGUGGCUAAUACGGGGUGUUCUGGCUGUGCCGCAUGGUGUGGCUGGGAAAGAUUCACUUUUGUGGUGUUUUGGUGGGGGAUGGGCUCGCGGCCUAUCAGCUUGUUGGUGGGGUGAUGGCCUGCCAAGGCUUUGACGGGUAGCCGGCCUGGGAGGGUGGGCGGUCACACUGGGACUGAGAUACGGCCCAGACUCCUGCGGGAGGCAGCAGUGGGGGGUAUUGCACAAUGGGCGGAAGCCUGAUGCAGCGACGUCGCGUGAGGGAUGGAGGCCUUCGGGUUGUGAACCUCUUUCGCCGGUGAAGAAGGUCCUGCUCUUUGUGGUGGGGUUGACGGUAGCCGGGUUAUGAAGCGCCGGCUAACUACGUG
rnacentral:rRNA from 1 species